rnacentral:misc_RNA from 1 species
AGAAGAAGAUGAUGAUGAUGAUGAUGAUGGACAAGAAUCCAAUCAAGAGAAGAGGAGGAGCCAAAUUGAGCCUCGUGAAGACUGCCCUUAUCUUGAUACAGUGAAUCGUCAGGUGUUGGAUUUUGAUUUCGAGAGAUUUUGCUCAGUCUCUUUAUCAAACCUGAAUGUAUAUGCGUGCUUGGUUUGUGGGAAAUAUUACCAAGGGAGAGGGAAGAAAUCCCAUGCAUACACUCAUAGCCUUGAAGCAGGACAUCAUGUCUACAUUAAUCUUCAGACUGAGAAAGUUUACUGCCUUCCUGAUGGAUAUGAAAUUAUUGACCCAUCACUGGAUGACAUACGGCAUGUUUUGAACCCAAGGUUUACUAGGGAUCAGGUUGAACAACUUGACAAAAACAGACAAUGGUCCAGGGCACUUGAUGGGUCUGAUUACCUUCCCGGAAUGGUGGGCCUGAAUAACAUUAAAGAGACUGAUUUUGUUAAUGUCACUAUUCAGUCUCUAAUGA